AACGAACGCUGGCGGCAUGCCUAAUAUAUGCAAGUCGAACGAUCACUUCGGUGGUAGUGGCGCACGGGUGCGUAACGAUUGGGAAUCUGCCCUUCGGUUCGGAAUAACGUCGGGAAACUGACGCUAAUACCGGAUGAUGACGUAAGUCCAAAAUCUUAUCGCCCAGGGAUGAGCCGGCGUAGGAUUAGCUAGUUGGAGGAGUAAAGGCCUACCAGGACGACGAUCCUUAGCUGGUCAGGGAGGAUGAUCAGACACACUGGGACUGAGACACGGCCCAGACUCCUACGGGAGGCAGCAGUAGGGAAUAUUGGACAAUGGGGGCAACCCUGAUCCAGCAAUGCCGCGUGAGUGAUGAAGACCUUAGGGUUGUAAAGCUCUUUUACCCGGCAUGAUAAUGACAGUACCGGGAGAAUAAGCCCCGGCUAACUCCGUGCCAGCCGCCGCCGUAA
rnacentral:rRNA from 1 species